rnacentral:misc_RNA from 1 species
UUUCCGUAGGUGAACCUGCGGAAGGAUCAUUACAGAGAAAUUGCCCUUUGGGGUAGUUCUCCCACCCUUUGUUUACAUUACCUUUGUUGCUUUGGCAGGACCGUCUUUUGACCGCUGGCUUAGGCUGGUCCUCGCCUGCCAGAGGACCCUAAACUCUUGAUUUUUGUGUCGUCUGAGUAACAUUAUAAUAAGUUAAAACUUUCAACAACGGAUCUCUUGGUUCUG